rnacentral:rRNA from 1 species
GUAGGUGGCAAGCGUUGUCCGGGAAUUAUUGGGGCGUAAGGCGCGCGCAGGCGGUUCUUUAAGUCUGAUGUGAAAGCCCACGGGCUCAACCGUGGAGGGUCAUUGGAAACUGGAGAACUUGAGUACAGAAGAGGAAAGCGGAAUUCCACGUGUAGCGGUGAAAUGCGUAGAGAUGUGGAGGAACACCAGUGGCGAAGGCGGCUUUCUGGUCUGUAACUGACGCUGAGGCGCGAAAGCGUGGGGAGCAAACAGGAUUAGAUACCCUGGUAGUCCACGCCGUAAACGAUGAGUGCUAAGUGUUAGGGGGUUUCCGCCCCUUAGUGCUGCAGCUAACGCAUUAAGCACUCCGCCUGGGGAGUACGGCCGCAAAGGCUG